rnacentral:rRNA from 1 species
UACGGAGGGGCUAGCGUUGUUCGGAAUUACUGGGCGUAAAGCGCAACGUAGGCGGCUUUGUAAGUUUAGAGGUGAAAGCCCGGGGCUCAACUCCGGAAUUGGCCUUUAAGACUGCAUCGCUCGAAUUGUGGAGAGGUAAGUGGAAUUCCGGAGUGUAGAGGUGAAAUUCGUAGAUAUUCGGAAGAACACCAGUGGCGAAGGCGACU